UGCCAGCAGCCGCGGUAAUACGGAGGGUGCAAGCGUUAUCCGGAAUCAUUGGGUUUAAAGGGUCCGCAGGCGGUCAAUUAAGUCAGAGGUGAAAUCCUACAGCUUAACUGUAGAACUGCCUUUGAUACUGGUUGACUUGAGUUAUACGGAAGUAGGUAGAAUGUGUAGUGUAGCGGUGAAAUGCAUAGAUAUUACACAGAAUACCGAUUGCGAAGGCAGCCUACUACGUAUAUACUGACGCUCAUGGACGAAAGCGUGGGGAGCGAACAGGAUUAGAAACCCCAGUAGUCC
rnacentral:rRNA from 1 species